AUUGUAGGUCUGUCAGAUGAUCCUGGACCAGAAGGCUGAAGAUCAGGUGCUCCAAUGUUUUGUACUAUAAGAGACUGUCCAGUAACCACUGUGAGGACAACAGUCUUCCUGUCUCUGGGAACCUUUCCAGUCACUUGUGUCACCACAGGGUCUUGGGCACCACCAUGUCAUGUCCACAGACAGGAGCAGUGCUGACUCUUAGGUCAACAGGUUAUCCACCUCAGCCAUGAAGUUCUUCUGACCUUGGAAGACCUUGUCAGUGAGCCCUGGAAUAUGAAGAAGUAUCGGGAACACAUUAAGAACCUGAAAGAGACACAGGAAUUCUCAGAGCUUCCUCUUCAUAAAAUUAUUAUUGAAUCAUGA